rnacentral:rRNA from 1 species
UACGUAAGGGGCAAGCGUUGUCCGGAAUCACUGGGCGUAAAGCGCACGUAGGCGGUUUAGCAAGUUAGGGGUGCAAGCUCCAGGCUUAACCUGGAAACUGCCUCUAAAACUACUUCACUUGAGUAUUAGAGGGGAAGCUGGAAUUCACGGUGUAGCGGUGAAAUGCGUAGAUAUCGGGAGGAACACCCGUAGCGAAGGCGGCCGACUGGACCACACCUGACGCUGAGGCGCGAAGGCCAGGGGAGCGAACGGG